CUCCUUUUCCUGUUAGCCAUGUUCCUGGAUUCCUGUCUGCCAUCUUGUUCACCCGACUGACUCUCCCACUCUAUUGAACUAUGUGGAAAAGUCAUCAUUUUCUACAUCAUCUCCUAGACAAUCUUCUAAAACUUCUACAACAUUCCCCACUUCCUCAAGACAGUCCUUCAUAACUGGCGUUCCCUAACAUGACACACUGCGGGCUGAGAGAUUGUGGUGUCUGGAUUUGAUUUAAUCUCACAACUCUUUCCACGCUAGUGAAUGCAGAGGGAGCCAACAAAGGAGAUGGACACAUUAAAUCAACUGGCGUUAAGAGUGGAGCUGCUUGUGGAUAAAUCUCUAUUACCAAGCACUCAGAUGAUUAUCUUCAAAGAGAACCAGAGAAUGCUAGGAAGAAAGACGAGCAUAAAACUAACUGGAAACAGUCAGCGAGGGAUGCAUCUUCAAGAGCUGCGCAGAGUCUGGCCUCAAAGAAAUUAAUCAGUGGGAGCCAAUUAUAAUAAACAAGCGUGAUUAUGUAAACAGGACAUGAGUGAUUAUCUUGUUUCCACCAGAUAUUACUGAUGAGAAAGA